rnacentral:rRNA from 1 species
AAUGAACGCUGGCGGCAGGCCUAACACAUGCAAGUCGAGCGGAGCGGCGGACGGGCGAGUAAUGCCUAGGAAUCUGCCUGGUAGUGGGGGAGAACGUCCGGUAACGGGAGCUAAUACAGCAUAAUAUCAGAUGAGCCUAGGGCGGAUUAGCUCGUUGGUGGGGUAAAGGCCUACCAAGGCGACGAUCCGUAACUGGUCUGAGAGGAUGAUCAGCCACACUGGAACUGAGACACGGUCCAGACUCCUACGGGAGGCAGCAGUGGGGAAUAUUGGGCAAUGGGCGAAAGCCUGAUCCAGCCAUGCCGCGUGGGUGAAGAAGGUCUUCGGAUUGUAAACCACUUUAAGUUGGGAGGCGUUACCUACUCAGUAAGCACCGGCUAACUUCGUGCCAGCAGCCGCGGUAAUUC